rnacentral:snRNA from 1 species
UUGCUCUGGUGUUUCCACAUUUGCGGAUAAAUCUUUCGCCUUUUACUAAAGAUUUCCGUGGGGAGGCACAAUACAAUGAGUCUUAUCUCAUUGUUUUUCCUGCUGCUUCUACCUUGCUUUGGAAGU